UGGGGAAUCUUGGACAAUGGGGGCAACCCUGAUCCAGCCAUGCCGCGUGAGUGAUGAAGGCCUUAGGGUCGUAAAGCUCUUUCGCCUGUGAAGAUAAUGACGGUAGCAGGUAAAGAAACCCCGGCUAACUCCGUGCCAGCAGCCGCGGUAAUACGGAGGGGGUUAGCGUUGUUCGGAAUUACUGGGCGUAAAGCGCACGUAGGCGGACCAGAAAGUUGGGGGUGAAAUCCCGGGGGCUCAACCCCGGAACUGCCUCCAAAACUAUUGGUCUAGAGUUCGAGAGAGGUGAGUGGAAUUCCAAGUGUAGAGGUGAAAUUCGUAGAUAUUUGGAGGAACACCAGUGGCGAAGGCGGCUCACUGGCUCGAUACUGACGCUGAGGUGCGAAAGUGUGGGGAGCAAACAGGAUUAGAUACCCUGGGUAGUCCACACCGUAAAACGAUGAAUGCCAGUCGUCGGGUAGCAUGCUAUUCGGUGACACACC
rnacentral:rRNA from 1 species